rnacentral:ncRNA from 2 species
CAACAGACUGGAAGCUGUAAUUCAGGGGCGGUAGCGUA